AUUGAACGCUGGCGGCAUGCCUAACACAUGCAAGUCGAACGGCAGCACAGCAGUAGCAAUACUGUGGGUGGCGAGUGGCGGACGGGUGAGGAAUACGUCGGAAUCCGCCCAGUCGUGGGGGAUAACUAGCCGAAAGGUUAGCUAAUACCGCAUACGACCGAGAGGUGAAAGCGGGGGACCGCAAGGCCUCGCGCGAUUGGAUGAGCCGACGUCGGAUUAGCUAGUUGGCGGGGUAAAGGCCCACCAAGGCGACGAUCCGUAGCUGGUCUGAGAGGAUGAUCAGCCACACUGGAACUGAGACACGGUCCAGACUCCUACGGGAGGCAGCAGUGGGGAAUAUUGGACAAUGGGCGCAAGCCUGAUCCAGCAAUGCCGCGUGUGUGAAGAAGGCCUUCGGGUUGUAAAGCACUUUUAUCAGGAACGAAAAGCGUUGGAUUAAUACUCUGACGUGCUGACGGUACCUGAGGAAUAAGCACCGGCUAACUUCGUG
rnacentral:rRNA from 1 species